AAACUUUACAAUGCGGGAAACCGUGAUAAGGGGACACCGAGUGCUAGCAUCGUAUGCUGGCUGUCCAGGUGUACACCUGUAGCAAGGGCCGGCAAGACCGGUGCCAGCCGCCGCGGUAACACCGGCGGCCCGAGUGGUGAUCGUGAUUAUUGGGUCUAAAGGGUCCGUAGCCGGUUUGGUCAGUCCUCCGGGAAAUCUGAUAGCUCAACUAUUAGGCUUCGGGGGAUACUGCCAGACUUGGAACCGGGAGAGGUAAGAGGUACUACAGGGGUAGGAGUGAAAUCUUGUAAUCCCUGUGGGACCACCUGUGGCGAAGGCGUCUUACCAGAACGGUUCGACGGUGAGGGACGGAGCGGGGGGCGACGAACCGGCUUAGAUACCCGGGUAGUCCCACGCGUAAACAAUGCUCGCUAGUGUCAGGUGGUGCCGCAGGGAAGCCGUGAAGCGAGCACCU
rnacentral:rRNA from 1 species